rfam:Stegodyphus mimosarum contig6286, whole genome shotgun sequence.
GCCUUCGGGGUGUAAUGGUCAGCACACUGAGCCGGUAUUUCAGAGGUCCGCGGUUCGAUCCCCGGCGAAGGCA